AGAGUUUGAUCCUGGCUCAGGACGAACGCUGGAGGCGUGCUUAACACAUGCAAGUCGAACGAUGAAAUGGAGCUUGCUCCAUGGAUUAGUGGCGAACGGGUGAGUAACACGUGAAUAACCUGCCCUUAAUUUUGGAAUAACCCAGGGAAACCUGGGCUAAUACCGGAUAAGUAAACCUGUGGCAUCACAUGGUUUUGGAAAGUUUUUCGAUUAAGGAUGGAUUCGCGGCCUAUCAGCUUGUUGGUGAGGUAAUGGCUCACCAAGGCGACGACGGGUAGCCGGCCUGAGAGGGUGAACGGCCACACUGGGACUGAGACACGGCCCAGACUCCUACGGGAGGCAGCAGUGGGGAAUAUUGGGCAAUGGAGGAAACUCUGACCCAGCGACGCCGCGUGAGGGAUGAAGGCCUUCGGGUUGUAAACCUCUUUCAGCAGGGAAUAAGCGAAAGUGAAGGUACCUGCAGAAGAAGCACCGGCUAACUAUGUGCCAGCAGCCGCGGUAAUACAUAGGGUGCAAGCGUUGUCCGGAAUUAUUGGGCGUAAAGAGCUCGUAGGUGGUCGAUCACGUCGGAUGUGAAAAUCUGAGGCUUAACCUCAGACCUGCAUUCGAUACGGGUUGACUAGAGUGUGGUAGGGGAGACUGGAAUUCCUGGUGUAGCGGUGGAAUGCGCAGAUAUCAGGAGGAACACCGAUGGCGAAGGCAGGUCUCUGGGCCAUUACUGACACUGAGGAGCGAAAGCGUGGGGAGCGAACAGGAUUAGAUACCCUGGUAGUCCACGCCGUAAACGGUGGGCGCUAGUUGUGGGAACCUUCCACGGUUUCUGCGACGCAGCUAACGCAUUAAGCGCCCCGCCUGGGGAGUACGGUCGCAAGAAUGAAACUCAAAGGAAUUGACGG
rnacentral:rRNA from 1 species